rnacentral:rRNA from 1 species
AACGAACGCUGGCGGCAGGCCUAACACAUGCAAGUCGAACGCCCCCGGAGCAAUCCGGGGGAGUGGCAGACGGGUGAGUAACGCUUGGGAACCUUCCCAGUGGUACGGAAUAACCCAUCGAAAGAUGGGCUAAUACCGUAUACGCCCGCAAGGGGACAGAUUUAUCGCCAUUGGAUGGGCCCGCGUCGGAUUAGCUUGUUGGUAGGGUAACGGCCUGCCAAGGCGACGAUCCGUAGCUGGUCUGAGAGGAUGAGCAGCCACACGGGGACUAGGCAACGGCCCACACUCCGACGGGAGGCAGCAGGGGGGAAUAUUGGAGAAUGGCGCAAGCCUGAUCCCGCCAUGCCGCGUGAGUGACGAAGGCCUUAGGGUUGUAAAGCUCUUUUGGCGGGGACGAUAAUGACGGUACCCGCAGAAUAAGUCCCGGCUAACUUCGUGCCAGCCGCCGCAGUAAAAC